rnacentral:rRNA from 1 species
AGCGAACGCUGGCGGCAGGCCUAACACAUGCAAGUCGAACGGACCUUUCGGGGUUAGUGGCGGACGGGUGAGUAACACGUGAAAACGUGCCUUUAGGUUCGGAAUAGCUCCUGGAAACGGGUGGUAAUGCCGAAUGUGCCCUUCGGAGGAAAGAUUUAUCGCCUUUAGAGCGGCCCGCGUCUGAUUAGCUAGUUGGUGAGGGAAUGGCUCACCAAGGCGACGAUCAGUAGCUGGUCUGAGAGGAUGACCAGCCACAUUGGGACUGAGACACGGCCCAAACUCCUACGGGAGGCAGCAGUGGGGAAUCUUGCGCAAUGGGCGAAAGCCUGACGCAGCCAUGCCGCGUGGAUGAUGAAGGUCUUAGGAUUGUAAAAUCCUUUCACCGGUGAAGAUAAUGACUGUAGCCGGAGAAGAAGCCCCGGCUAACUUCGUGCCAGCAGCCGCUGUAAGAC